rfam:Ashbya gossypii ATCC 10895 chromosome VI, complete sequence.
UUCACAUGAUGUUUACAAUAUUUGCUACUUCGGACGUUGCUUUGCAGCGAAUGAGACAUACUUUUAUCACCAAGAUCUCUGAUGGU